rnacentral:lncRNA from 1 species
UUGUGAUAAUAAUCCUCCUUCAAGUCUUCAUACAAAAUCAGUUUAGGCUCCAUCAUCGUCACUCGUCGUCAGUACACAAUAAUAUACAAUGGCUUCAAGAAGAAAAAAAGAACAAUUUGUGCUACAGCUACACCACUUGCUCAUAUGUCUAUUUUUUUACUAGCAAACUAAUCAAGCCGGUGUAUAAAACAACUCCAAACUUGCAUAGAGUCAGAAGCCCCAUAUUAUUGAAAACAUUAAAUUUCUUUCAUCCAUCUCUCACUCUGGCCCCUCUUAGGUGGCCCCUGUGGUACUGCUCCGUGAGCCGCUGCACUCGAGCAGAACCAUAGGGUGAGCUAAACCUCGAGGCAACCAAACGCUCCCGUACCGUUCUGUGCCACCACCGCUCUCGAUAUAUUCUCCUGAGAGGAGCGGAAAGAGAGAGGAGUUUGGGUUCCAUCAUCGCCGGUGCACAAUAGUCUGGCUUCAAAAAAAAAGUUGUGUUGCACGUGUUGAUCCAUUUGUUACUAGAAAACUAAGGUUCAUAUCAAACCCUGUGUAUCGAUAAAACUAUGCAAACUUUCAUAUAUUGUCACAAGUCCAAUAAAUGUAUCAAUAUGUACAUAGAAAAAAUUAAGUUUCUUUGUCUAUCUCUUAUGAUCACUCUCGCCCCCUCUCUUAGUGUGUUACUACCAUUGCUCUGCCGAUCGGAGGGGAGUAGAGGGGCAUGCAGAGAGAGAGAGAGAGAGAGAGAGAGAGAGAGAGGCAGCAACUUUUGUAGGGAGAAGGGCUAGAUGAUAUGAGCCGACUUCAAAUUUUCAACCGAAUGUAAGUAAAAUUUUGAUACAGUGGCUCCAAGACUACAUAUUUUUUUACCAAGGUUUGUGUCAUAAACUAUUGGUAAAAAUCUCCUUAAUUUUCACCAUUGUCUCUAUUACGAACCAACGGUAAAAACCAUUGGUAAAAAACUAUUUCUAUAGUAGUGAGAAAUGUAAAGAAAAAGAACCAAAUUGGUACAUCAUGGAAAUUAGCAAUGACAUGAAUUUUUAUUUUUAUGUAGGCUUCAAACUUCUUUGAAUUCUUCUGGCAUGGGCUCAUCGUUUUGCCACAAAAUAUGGAGAAAUAAAAAAAAUUUGGCUUGCAAUUUGUUAGUAUCUGAAGCCGGAUCAGUGUGUCACUUUCUGACCAAAUUGUUAUUUAUCUUAAACCUGAUAGAAGAUUGGGAAUCGCGUCCCAUUAGUAACUUAGCUCACAAAUGUGCCCCAUUUUGUGUUUAUAUAAGGAAAGGAAAAGACAUGCAUGUAAUCCAAGUAGAAAACUGGAUAUAGCAGCAAUCCAAUAGACCAAAGACAACUAAAAAAAUUUGGACCCAAUCCAAACGUCUAGAUGGGCUAAAAUAGAAAACAAAGUCCACUAAAGCAACCUUACCAACUGGGCCGAAAACGAAAACACAAGACUAUCAUGGAUCCCAACUAGAUGGGCUGGCUCCCGUCCAAAAAAAAAAACUAGGUUGGGCUGGUUAAUCCGGGAGAAUAAGUAGGCUUGCAGAAAUGCCAUAAGCAUAUUUUGCUACAAAAAAGAAAGCCAUAAGCAUAUGUGUGGCUUUAGUUUUCUCCCAAAAAAAUGUGUGGCUUUAAUAAAAUAUAAAAUAUAUCUAGGUCUUCAUCAAAAAAUACACAUCUAACUUCACUCUCGGCAAACAAGAAAAUUAGACCAUAUUAUGAAAAUGUAGCAAAAAUACAUACGAAGUGGCCGAUCUAUACUAUUCGCAGGGCAAUCAGGGCAAUCUAUACUUGUAUCCAUAAACUGUUUCCGGAAAAUCUUAAUUUUUUUUCAUACAAGCUUAGAUGGAAAUGCCUACUCCCUCCAUCCUGAAAUAUAAAUGACCCAAAGCUCAAAAUUUAUACCAAAAUACAAGAUAUUCUAGGUCCUCAAUCCUCCCUCUUUCUUAAUUAGUGAACAGAAAUGGUGCACCACUGUGUAACAACUGAACUAUUCCUACUAUCCUAAUUAGUGAGUGGUAAGGUGAUCUUUUGCCAAGAUCUUUAUUUUGUCUAAAAAUCACUUGGAUCCCUUAUGUUUAUGGAUGGAAGGAGUACUACAUAAAAAUAGUAGAGUCCUUUGCCAUGACACUCAAAAGAUUGCACACCACUGGACUUGUGUGAGUGUCCCUGCGCUAAAUGUUUAGACGGACUCACCUAUUGUUUAGCUAAUUAUUUGGGCUAAACGACCAUUUAAACCAACUAAACAGUGAUUAAUAAACGUCGUAAGCCACUAUGUAGCGUUGACAGGUCAUGUCGUGUAAACGGACUAAAUGGUCUUUAUACACGAACAAUGCCCAUACACAACUUAUAACUUAGCUUUGGGCCAAUAAUAAGACAAUUUAUGAGUGCUGGACGGCCCUCGGCUCGACUAUUGGAGUGACUAAAGAAAGCCCCUUGAUCCCUCAUUCUACUCAUGUCCUGGUCUGGUUGAUUUGAUAUGGAAGUAGUGAAACUAAUGAAUAUUCUAACACAAAGUAACAUUGGUUGUUUUUUUAGGAAAUGUAACAUCGGUUGUUAAAAAAGGAUAGAGAUGAAUGAGAUAUACAGUUGUAUAGUUCAUCACUUUUCAUUUGAAAGUCAUCUUAUUUGGCAUGAAAAUAUAAUGGUUAUAGAUUGCCCUCGUAGUUGAAGAUCCACACGGAUGUAAAUUUCCUCUCCACCAUUACUAUGUAGUACAAAAACCCUUGAUGUUACAGAAAAACAUUCUUUUAAAAUGGUAUAAUGUGCUUUCAUUUCUAGUAGAGGAGGAUGUGCUUGCGAAGGUGGCCUAUCGUAGCCCCUUUGGGCCUAGGAAAUAGCAGCAUCUCCUGUAAAGUCCGGACAAGUGCAUUGCAUCGGAGUAGCCGACUUGACACUAUCACUACUACACACAUUCUUAACGAGGCGGACAAAAAGGAUUUAUUGAGGCAGUUUUUGCAACCGCUUUGGAUCAAAGGUCAUGGUUAAUAUGAUCUUUUUCAAUAUAGUUUGCUGCCCGCCUCAGUAAAUCAAAUAAAAAAGAAAAAUCCAUGGAUAAGCUCGCCGAGCCCAUCCACAGACCCGCCAAGCCCAUCCACCUGCCGCCGCGGCACAGCUCGCUGGCUCUACAUGUCGUCGUAGCCACUCGCGAAUCUGGGCACCCACCACCGGAUCCGGACACCCCUUCGCUAGAUCAAGACACCUGCUCGCCAGAGAAGGAGGGGAGGCUAGAUCCGCUUCCAAGGAUAUGCAGCAGCACCGUCGCAGCGGGAUCCGCCCCCGUUGGGCGUCAAUCUGCGAUGAGGAGUGGAUCUGAGAGGAGAGAGAGGGGUAAGUGACAUACCUCUGCCCAUGCGAGAUCCAUCAAGAGGAGGGGGGUGUUGCACUUGAUGCCGCCAUUGAUGAUGUUGGGUGAUGAUGCCGUAGCCCGACAGCCUCUUGGCCACCUCAUCUCCGGCCGAAGGGGUCCACUACUUGGUUAUGACUUCGCCACCAUACGCUGCCUACCCACGGAGCUCCACAUGCCGACAACAAAGGGAGAGGAGGAGGCCAACCGCGUGCUACUGGGAGGGGAGAGGAGGGGGGCCCGAGAGGAAGGGGAGGGGUGCCUGACGAGAGGAGCGUCGUGACGAGAGGAGUCGUGUUGGGCAGUUGUGGAAGGGUGAGAGGAGUGCGGCUGAGUAAAGUAAGGAGAGGAUGAGGGAGUAAAAUCCUAAGUCAGUGAUUUUAUACCUGUUGCACCUAUCGGGCCUCAUAUGGGCCUCUUGGGCCUCGAUUAAUUGGGCUAUUUCUAGAGGCGGC